rnacentral:piRNA from 1 species
UAGGUUGCCAGGUGAUCUGUCAGGCUAAA